rnacentral:tRNA from 1 species
GGGGUUGUGGCUCAGUGAUAGAGCACUCACCUAGCGCAUGCGAGAUCCUGGGUUCGAUCCUCAGCACCACA